AUUCAUGUGAAAAAUUUGAAUGGAAUAAAAGUUCAAAAAUAACACGCGCAAGAAGUAUGAACACUCAAGAAGUCAGGUCAAGCUCCACCACUAACCACGACACCGGAGGUUGCCUCCGACAACGGUGGUUCAUCAAAACAAAAAUGAAAACCAUCAUCUGAACCAUGGCAAUAAGUUGAAUACAAAUCUAGGUCCAAUUUCAUGAGAAAACCACUCAAAGAUCCAAACUAACGAGGAAUCAAAGCCUAAGAGGUUGGGGAUUUGAUUCCUCUCAUGAUUCUCAACAUCAUGGUAACAGAUAAUUGAAUAAACAUGGUAGAUUCAAGACUACCUCGUCGGAGAAGAAGUUCUGAGAAAACUUGGGACUUUGGUUAUGAGCUAUCAACUGAAAUGAUUUGGCUUGCUGCAUGGCUCUAUGUGAAUGGUCUUGUUUGACUCUUAUGAGUGACAUGAAUGCGUGUUGCAAGACCUACUUGAAUGAUGCAGGAUUCUGCAAUACGAUCUGCUGCAAGACUACUAUGCAUGUUGGAUGGAAAUGGUCAUGCUGCAGGACCUGUGUCAAUGAUGCUUAUGAAGGACGGUGCAAACAUAUCAUGAUAGAAAUCAAGGCCUACAAAAAGUGACUUAGGAUUGAAGAAAAUUAGUGAAGGCAAGCAAACUCAAGAACAUGGAAUCAUGGUGGAUAAUGGAAGAAUAAACCAAAAAUUUAGGGUUUAGGAUAUAAGAUGGGUUUAGUUGACUUAUGUCAAUUGGUUGACCAAAAAGUCAACAGUUGACAAAAAGUCAACUUAGGUAGAAAAUGGUUUUUUGUAAUCCUUUUUUAUGUAUGGACAUUUUGGUGUGAAUUGUAUGCAUUUAAAUGGUACUUGGUUUGUGGAGUGACGUUUGUGAUAUGAUUUGAAAUGGAUUGAUGAUUCACUA